rnacentral:tRNA from 1 species
GCCCGGGUGGCGGAACUGGUAUACGCGCAUGACUUAAAAUCAUGUCUCGAAAGAGUUGUGGGUUCGAUUCCCACCCCGGGCACCA